UGAGGUUGAGACAGCCCCGGUGAGCUUUCAACGGCCCCGGUGAGGUUGAAACGGCCCCGGUGAUGCUGAGACGGCCCUUGUGAGGCUGG